rnacentral:rRNA from 1 species
GGGGGAGCAUUGGAGGCACAGAGUGGUGGGAUAAGUUGAGGGCACACGUUCUUGCGUUAGCAGCCCUGCUCGCGCUGUCGCUCCUGGCAGCUGCGCCAGCAGGGGCCCUGGGGCCGGCGGCCCACAGGAGCUACCAGGCGGGGCCGGUGCCUCACCCAACGCAAGUGCAUCAUCCAAUACUCGUUACCUACGCUGGCAGGGCCCUCGGCGGCCAUGACGGGUACUACUCCUUCCAGGCCUUCAGGUACACACCGCCCGU